GGCGUAAAGGGUGGUUAAGGAAAGUUAAAACUAAAGCCGAAUACUAUCAAGGCUGUUAUACGCGCCCGAUAAUAAGAAGAUCAACCACGAAAGUGGCUUUAUAUUCCCUGAACCCACGAAAGCUAUGAUACAAACUGGGAUUAGAUACCCCACUAUGCUUAGCCCUAAACAUUGAUGGGGUACUACCCUCCCCAUCCGCCUGGGAACUACGAGCAUAAGCUUAAAACCCAAAGGACUUGGCGGUGCUUUAGAUCCACCUAGAGGAGCCUGUUCUAGAACCGAUAACCCCCGUUAAACCUCACCCUUCCUAGCCUUUUCCGCCUAUAUACCACCGUCGUCAGUUUACCCUAUGAAGGAUUAACAGUAAGCAAGACUGGCACCAACCUAAAACGUUAGGUCGAGGUGUAGUGCAUGGAAGGGGAAGCAAUGGGCUACAUUCGCUAACUCAGCGAAAACGAACGACAAAAUGAAAUGUUUGUCUAAAGGAGGAUUUAGAAGUAAGUAAAAAAUAGAGUGUUUUACUGAAA
rnacentral:rRNA from 1 species